AGGAGUUUACGAUUAUCCUGGUAGCGCACCUCGUUCGGGACGAGGGGGUCGCAGGUUCAAAUCCUGCCACUCCGACCA
rnacentral:tRNA from 1 species